rnacentral:rRNA from 1 species
GUCCACGCCGUAACGAUGAAUACUAGGUGUUGGGAGCAAAGCUCUUCGGUGCCGCCGCAAACGCAUUAAGUAUUCCACCUGGGAGUACGUUCGCAAGAAUGAAACUCAAAGGAAUUGACGGGGCCCGCACAAGCAGUGGAGUAUGUGGUUUAAUUCGACGCAACGCGAAGAACCUUACCAGGUCUUGACAUCGUAUGCAUAGUGUAGAGAUACAUGAAGUCCUACGGGACAUACAGACAGGUGGUGCAUGGUUGUCGU